rnacentral:tRNA from 1 species
GCCUAGUUUGCUUGAAGGGUAGAGCGUCUGACUUGUAAGCCCCAGAUAUCGCAGGUUCAAUUCCCGCCCGGGGCG